AUGUCCCAGUCUGGAAAAGUCAUUCAUCUGUAUGUGGAGGUGAGGUCAGCCCCAGAGCAGGAUGGGAAGGGGGGCUUGGGAGGAGGAGUGGAUGGGCUUGGGACUGGGAGUGACUCCGCCUCAGCACAGGAUCAGCCAGCGGGGCUUUUGUCCCAGCUAGCCUGCCAGACAAAAUGCCAAACUCCUAGCAAAGCUCCAAUACACCGCCUGGCCCAUAACUUCACCCACACCCAGUCUCCCUCCAGACACAAAGUGAGCUUCCAGCUCCACCAAGGUAAUGGCACCCAAUCGCCUAGCAUCUCCCAGCAACAGAGUUUACCAGCAGCACUGACCCACUCCCCAGCCUUUUCUGGGAUUGGGAAGACCACCACCCCACACAAAGAUCACCACCCCUCCAAAGGGCAGGGGGUGGGGGGCAAUGGCAAACGGUCGGUGGUCACCUUCAGCUACAUUGAGAAGGCUAACGUCAAGACAGUGGAGAGCCCACAGAACUCAGCCUGUCAGAGGAGGUGUGGGGAGGAGCUGUCGUCCCCACCUUCCCACCCCCGGAAUAAACUCAGCGAUCCCAUCUGGUUGGGUAGUCCUGGCUCCUCAUGCAGCUCCAGUCCCAAACUAGCGUUUCGUCCCCCAGGGGGUCACCAGCAGCAGCCGACAGGCUCCCCCAGCCUCCGCCACCCUGUCUUGGAUCCUGUCGGUAUUGCGGCCACCCAGCGUGCCCUGGAGGAGUUUGGGUUUGGUUCCCCCCUGUUCAGGAGUAAGAUCAUCCAUGGGCUGGAGCAGAGUCCCAGGGGCUCCCGCCACAACCAGCAGGCCCGCUGCCUGUCCUGGGCCGGCGGUUCUCCUGUCCAGCACCACAGCGCCUGCAAUAAUCUCCACAAUAAUCACGCUGUGGAUGCAGAUAGAAACCGGGCUAUUUGCGGGCCAUUACCCAGGAGCUCAGCCUCUGUCCAGCUUUCGUCCCAUGCUAGGCAGGGCACUCUGGGCAUGUCUCCUUACUCAAGACCCAGGUCGUGCAUGGGGCUCCAGGCCCAGAGCCCACACCACUGGGUAGGUCAGGACAAAGCUUUAGCAGGUAGUCCAGCCACACAGAGACAAGUGCACAAGCCCUGUAACAGUAGUUCCUCCUCUCAAGGGACCAUCCUCCAACUUAAAAAUAAACUAGGGGAGAGAACUGUACUGAAUCAGCUAAGUUGUAGCAAACCCUCCUCCCCAGCCAACAGCCCUGAAGUGGCCCGGAGGCUAGCCGAGGAGGCUACUAAAGUAUCCUCUAUUUUAGCAGAGGUAAAGAGGAACUCAUUGACAUUGCACAAUGCUUUAGACGAAGUAGAGAGACCCAACUCUGAAUGUAUGUCUGGAGAAGCUGACAGUUCUGUCUCAAAUGUACAACGGCAACAUUUGCAGCAUCAGACAGUUAAGAUGAAUAUCCCUUUACACGGCCAACACACACCAGCGUCGAACGACAUUGACUCUCACCGGGCUGGAAAUGUUUUAGCAUCGUCACGCACACAGGACUCAAACUCUCCAACAACAACCAAUCACGGGACACAGCAUGGAAGAGGGCAGGCUCAGAGCUCCAUUCUAUCAGACACAGUAGUGGGUGUAGGAGGGUCCCCUGCCCUGCCUUCACGCUUCAUCCGUCCAUCUCUUCCCCCAGCCGAGACCAGCUCCCCUCUGAAAGACCCCAGGCUGCUGAGAGCCCAGCUCAGAGUCACAGAAAGCCCAACACUGCAUCGCUGCCAGCCCCCUCAGUACACUAGAGAUUUCUGGUCCUUCGAGCCGGACGAGAGAGCCGACUUCUCCUGCUUUGAUACGGGGGAUAGUGCCGAGCUGGCCCGUAGGCUCUAUAUACGCCAAAGUGUGGUGGAAGCCCCUGUCAGCUGGACCUCCAGGCAGCCCUGGAGCCACCUGGUAGAGGAGGAGAGCAGAAACUCCAGUUCCAGCCCCAUACACGGACCUGGGCAGCAGCCCCUAAGCGUGGCCCAGCAGAAAAGAGCCGAGCAUAGGAGGAGGGAGGUUCUGCUGCUGGGCCCUGUGGUGCUGGACUCGCCAGAGGAGGAUGAGGGCCUGAAUGGGGAUGGGGAAGAGGUUCACAGACCAGGGCAACAGCGAGGCCUGCUGAGGGUUGAGGAGCCUCCAGAGGGGGAGCAAAUCAGGGUAGCAGGAUCCUCAUCACGCAGCUCCAGCGGGGUGACCGGUAGCCUGGGGGAAAGGGACUGUGUGUCCCCAGAGUCCAGUCAGUCCAGUCACCAGAGCAACGACACAGGGGCUGCCACCUCAGGGAUACAGGUGAGACAUUAUUCUUCAAAUAUGUUGCAUUGA
rnacentral:lncRNA from 1 species